rnacentral:rRNA from 1 species
GCGCUGCCGAAGGACGUUGCAGAAAA